UACAGAGACUGCAAGCGUUAUUCGGAUUCACUGGGCGUAAAGGGUGCGCAGGCGGCCAUGUGUGUGAGGCGUGAAAGCCCGGGGCUCAACCCCGGAAUUGCACCUCAAACUACAUGGCUAGAGCAUUGGAGAGGGUAGCGGAAUUCACGGUGUAGCAGUGAAAUGCGUAGAGAUCGGGAGGAAGGCCGGUGGCGAAGGCGGCGCUCUGGAACGUUUCUGACACUGAGGCUCGAAAGCGUGGGGGGCAAACAGG
rnacentral:rRNA from 1 species